UUGCCAGACUCCUACGGGAGGCAGCAGUGGGGAAUAUUGCACAAUGGGGGGAACCCUGAUGCAGCGACGCCGCGUGGGUGAAGGAGCCCCUCGGUGCGUAAAGCCCUAUCGGCAGGGAAGAAACAGACGGUACCUGACUAAGAAGCCCCGGCUAACUACGUGCCAGCAGCCGCGGUAAUACGUAGGGGGCAAGCGUUAUCCGGAUUUACUGGGUGUAAAGGGAGCGCAGACGGCAGUGCAAGUCUGGAGUGAAAGCCCGGGGCCCAACCCCGGAACUGCUCUGGAAACUGUGCGGCUAGAGUACUGGAGGGGCAGGCGGAAUUCCUAGUGUAGCGGUGAAAUGCGUAGAUAUUAGGAGGAACACCAGUGGCGAAGGCGGCCUGCUGGACAGUAACUGACGUUGAGGCUCGAAAGCGUGGGGAGCAAACAGGAUUAGAUACCCCAGUA
rnacentral:rRNA from 1 species